rnacentral:tRNA from 1 species
GCCGCUAUCGUCUAAUGGCUUAGGACGUCGCGUUCUCAACGCGGCAAUCGGGGUUCGAUUCCCCGUAGCGGUACAA